AAGGCUGCGUAGUGACCUGCGGAGGAUCAUUAUCGUAGGGCUCCGGCCCUGUCGAGAUAGAACCCUUGCCUUUUUGAGUACCUCUUCGUUUCCUCGGCGGGCUCGCCCGCCAGUGGGGACCACAAAAAACACUUUGUAAUACCUGUACUGUCUGAGAAACAAACAAAAAUUAAAACUUUCAACAACGGAUCUCUUGGUUCUGGCAUCGAUGAAGAACGCAGCGAAAUGCGAUAAGUAGUGUGAAUUGCAGAAUUCAGUGAAUCAUCGAAUCUUUGAACGCACAUUGCGCCCUUUGGUAUUCCUUAGGGCAUGCCUGUUCGAGCGUCAUUUAAACCUUCAAGCUCAGCUUGGUGAUGGGUGACUGUCCGCCGCCCCCGGGCGCGGACUCGCCCCAAAUUCAUUGGCGGCCGGUACGUUGGCUUCGAGCGCAGCAGAAACGCGAACUCGUGGCCCUCUUGUGCUGGCUCCCAGGAGCAAUUUCACAAUUUUGACCUCGGAUCAGGUAGGGAUACCCGCUGAACUUAAGCAUAUU
rnacentral:rRNA from 1 species